CUGUUUGAUUUUAUUUUAUAGAUUAAAAAUAGAUGUUUCUCAUUGUUUUUAACCGUAUAAGAAUGAUUUUAUGUGCAUCGACUUAGUAAUCAAAUGAUUUACCGUAGUUUCACUUUCAUUGUUGACAUUCUUUUUCUUUAAAUAACCAGUACACGUACAAUGCAUGCGUAGUGAAUCUCUUGCUAGGGGUUAAAUUGAAGUUCACAUGAAUACGGAUUUAAAGAGGUCGACUCAUUCAC
rnacentral:lncRNA from 1 species